rnacentral:rRNA from 1 species
AUUGAACGCUGGCGGAAUGCUUUACACAUGCAAGUCGAACGGCAGCACGGACUUCGGUCUGGUGGCGAGUGGCGAACGGGUGAGUAAUGUAUCGGAACGUGCCCAGUCGUGGGGGAUAACGUAGUGAAAAUUACGCUAAUACCGCAUACGAUCUAUGGAUGAAAGCGGGGGAACGCAAGACCUCGCGCGAUUGGAGCGGCCGAUAUCAGAUUAGGUAGUUGGUGGGGUAAAGGCCCACCAAGCCAACGAUCUGUAGCUGGUCUGAGAGGACGACCAGCCACACUGGAACUGAGACACGGUCCAGACUCCUACGGGAGGCAGCAGUGGGGAAUUUUGGACAAUGGGCGAAAGCCUGAUCCAGCCAUUCCGCGUGCAGGAUGAGGGCCCUCGGGUUGUAAACUGCUUUUGUACAGAACGAAAAGGUUUCUACUAAUACUAGGAGCUCAUGACGGUACUGUAGGAAUAAGCACCGGCUAACUACGUGCCAGCCGCCGCCGUAA